UACGUAGGUGUCGAGCGUUGUCCGGAUUUAUUGGGCGCAAAGAGCCCGCAGGCGGCUUGGCAAGUUUGGGGUGAAAUCUCCCGGCUCAACUGGGAGGGUGCCCUGAAAACUGUCAGGCUUGAGUCAUGGGGAGGGAUGUGGAAUUCCAGGUGUAGUGGUGAAAUGCGUAGAGAUUUGGAGGAACACCAGUGGCGAAGGCGACUUUCUGGUCUGUAACUGACACUGAGGCGCGAAAGCGUGGGGAGCGAACAGG
rnacentral:rRNA from 1 species